rnacentral:rRNA from 1 species
UACGAAGGGGGCUAGCGUUGUUCGGAAUCACUGGGCGUAAAGCGCACGUAGGCGGAUCUUUAAGUCAGAGGUGAAAUCCCAAGGCUCAACCUUGGAACUGCCUUUGAUACUGGGGAUCUUGAGUCCGGGAGAGGUGAGUGGAACUGCGAGUGUAGAGGUGAAAUUCGUAGAUAUUCGCAAGAACACCAGUGGCGAAGGCGGCUCACUGGCCCGGUACUGACGCUGAGGUGCGAAAGCGUGGGGGAGCAAACAGG